UGUACUAGAAAUAUUGCUUCAUACCGUCCC
rnacentral:piRNA from 1 species